CCAUAGGACCGCUACUUUGAAGGAGAAACAAUACUUAAAUAGUGGCCAGAAAAUAAUGUGGGGAAUACAAAGUUCAAGUCGAAGAACUGAGCACUGAGAUUAGGGAGACCAGAAAACCUCUACCACUGCUAUUCCUCUAGAAUUUAUAGGCGCAGAGAAAUUAAGUUUCAGAUGUAGAGCAGUUAGGCCAUUACAUAUUCUGUUAGGUGGAAGUUAUUGUCUACUCCUUACAGUUAAUACUACAGUGCAGUUCAGUUACAUUUGGUGCCUUUUAAUUUUACGCCAUCCCUCAACGACUCUCCGUGUUGAAUUAUUACAUUUGGAUGAACGGAGAGGUCUGAAAUAUGAAGUAGGGCUGUUAGAACAGCCAGGUGUUGAGAAUUGCAAUAUUUGAGUAUAUUUAUACUGGAUAAUAAAAAUGGAAGGGGAAUCUGGUUCGUCUUCCCAGCAAGGGGCAACAAAUAUUCCUUCAACGGCUUCUUUGCCCUCGUCAACAAUCCCAACACCAACCCCGACCCAGACCCCAGCCACAGUUGGGGCGUCAUCGACAAUUGGAGCCCCAACACCCACUGUGGCUUCUACUCAUCAAAACCCACAGCAGAAUUCAGUGCAACUGGGAGCAACGGGGGUUGUUGGGGUUGGUGCUGGUGCGGGACAAAAUCAACAACAACAAUCAUCACCUACCGUAUCCUCAGGGCAGCAAACGCAUCAACAUUUUGUGUCCACAUCAUCCAGUUUCCAUCCAGGGCAGUCAAGGCCUGGAGCGGCUGUAAACAGAAGCAGGCAGCAUCCAACAACUUUCCCACACUUGUCACCUUCAACUGCAAUGCACCAGCAAAGAGGCGGUGUUCAAAUGCAAGUCAUGGGAAGUCCGCAAAGGCCUCAGACUCUGGGAUCAUCCUCAUAUGGUUACGGUAUGCCGAGGGGAACCAUGAUGGGACAAACACAAGCUACUUCUUCAAUGAUACCUGCUGGACAGACGGACCAAGCUUCCAAUAUGCAAUCACCGUAUGCAGGUCACCAGGCUAGACAGAAGCCAGGAUCUGUUCAGGUUCCUCCAUACCAGCAUCCAGCAUCUUCAGGUCAGACGCUGCCAGUACCAUCAAUGAGUACAGUGGGUUCUCAUCCUCACGGCUCUCAGAUGAGACCAAUUGGUUCUUUUAGUCAUGGUCAGCAAAGGCCUGUUCAAGGGCUGUCAAGAUCGCAGACUCCAUCUCAACUUCAACCACUCACUCAACAGAAAAUGCACUCACCAAGUUUUCAAAGAAACACAUCUGUGGGAUCUCUGGGUUCUAAAGCGCCUGGCAUAUCACAAGGUGGACAAGCGAGUGUGGGUUCAAGUGCACUUUCAAAUCAGCCACAGUGGAUGCCAUCUCAAGGAAAGCAAAUGCACCAAUCCAGCUUGCCUCCUUUAGCAUCUCCUUUUCAAUCGAACCUUAAGCAGCAAAAUAUACAGCAGAGGUCACAUGGUCAGAUACAGCAACAGACACUUCCUUUGACAGUGCAACAGCAACAGCCAUUGCAGGAACAACAAACUCAACAGUUUCAACAGCAACGGAUGUCACAGCCUUUGCAUGUUGCAUCACAGCAGCAUCAGAUGUCUCGAGCAGCAGGAACACCAACUCAAAACACUUCAAUAUCAGCAGGAACUCAAGUUGGUACAUCUGUACCAGGAAAUGCAGUGCCAUCUGUAAGUAAUGAUCGGGCAACUGAAACUACUAAUAAGAUACUUGAGAAGAGAAGCAUCCAAGAAUUAGUUGAUCAGAUUGACCCUCGUCAGAAGCUAGAUGGUGAAGUUGAAGACAUCCUUAUAGAGAUAGCAGAAGAUUUUCUUGAAAGAGUAGCAACUAGUGCUUGUACUAUGGCAAAACAUCGAAAGUCGGAAUACUUGGAACCCAAGGAUAUAUUGCUUCCUUUAGAAAGAUAUUGGCAUAUAACGCUUCCUGGCUUUAGUGGUGAUGAAUAUAGAACCUACAAGAGGACUCUUCUCGUUCUUUACCAGGGAAUAAAAAUAUUUCUCUCUGAUCACGUGCCUUUUAUUGAUUGGUUGGGGGUAUUGCGUGCAGUCUGUGAACGAGAAUCACAAGCAACGACUUGCUGUGAUUCGGAAGUCGGUUGCAACAUCACAGACGGGAAAUGAAACAGGAAAUGCCAAAGGCUCUUCGGGACAAGUUACUGGAAAUGCUAGUGCCAAAGGUACCGCAACAAAGGGAGCACAGGAACCACCAGCUACAGGAGACCAUACAUGAUUGGAGUUGACUUUUGUGCUAAGAGCAGGACUGUAUGGGGUUCGGCAAUCAAUUGUUGGUCAACUGUUAUUUUUGUUGUAUGGUGACCCAGGGUGAAAAUCUUAUGAAGACCAAAAAUUUUGCUUCAACAUUCAGAUUACGGGUACCAACAAUUGAUGUCUCUGACAUUCAAUGACAAAUAUUUCUUGAAUUUCUUUGGAGCACGAACCCAAACAGCAUCUUCUGGUAGAACUGGACCACUUAUUGUAAAAAGUCCACGACUUAUCUUCUUAAAAAAGAAGGAAUGUGGAUUUGCCUUGUAUUUUGAGCUGCAGUAUGAACACAUGUUCUACCAUUUUAUGUUAUAGCACUGUUAAGCAAUUUUCUCUGAACUAGGGGGCAAAAAUGUGCUACUUGCAAGGAACAAAUAUAAAGUUAUAAACACAAAUUUUCAAUUUCCACAACAUGGAAGGAAACAGUUGUAUAGAACAAUUUAUAUCUGUUUUUAUAAUUUGAAGCCAGACUGAUUUGUUUGAACA